rnacentral:rRNA from 1 species
GACGAACGCUGGCGGCGUGCUUAACACAUGCAAGUGGAGCGACGAACCAGGCUUCGGCCUGGGGCAGAGCCGCGAACGGGUGAGUAACACGUGGGUAACCUGCCCCGAAGACCGGGACAACCCGAGGAAACUCGAGCUAAUACCGGAUGUGGUCACUCCUCACAAGUGGAGUGAGCAAAGGGAGCUUCGGCCCCCGCUGUGGGAUGGGCCCGCGGCCCAUUAGCUUGUUGGGGGGGUAACGGCUCACCAAGGCCUCUAUGGGUAGCUGGUCUGAGAGGACGAUCAGCCACACUGGGACUGAGACACGGCCCAGACUCCUACGGGAGGCAGCAGUGGGGAAUCUUGCGCAAUGCGCGACAGCGUGACGCAGCAACGCCGCGUGGGGGAAGAAGGCCUUCGGGUUGUAAACCCCUUUCAGGAGGGACGAAGCUCCGGGAGUGAAUAGCUCUCCGGAGUGACGGUACCUCCACAAGGAGCCCCGGCUAACUACGUGCCAGCAGCCGCGGUAAUAC